UUGUUUUCCUUUACGUUAGAAAACACUAGAACACGAGUUUGACGGAUAGCAAUUUCGGACCUCUCUCACUCUCUCGCAAACCCUAGCGACACAUCCCUCGUUCGUUCUCGCCCUCACGGAUCGUCAGUCUCUCUCUCGGUUUCUUUCUAGGUUUUGAUUUUUUAUUAAACUUGUUUUCUUAUCAACUUCUAUUAAUUGCGUGUUUCGCUGGAACAGGCGCGGAGAAUUAAUUUAGUGAAGGUCAGAAACACAAUGAGUUCGUCGAACCUGAGAGAUCUCCAACGCGAAUUGGAGAACAAAGCCAACGAUCUCAGCAAGCUUCAAAAGGAAAUUGCAAAGAAUCACCAAAUGAGAAAGAAGUACACACUCCAGCUUGGCGAGAACGAGCUCGUCCUUAAGGAACUGGAUUUAUUGAAAGAUGACACAAAUGUUUAUAAGUUGAUUGGGCCAGUACUUGUUAAGCAAGAUUUGGCCGAGGCCAAUGCAAAUGUCCGCAAGAGGAUCGAAUACAUCUCAGCUGAAUUGAAGCGUCUUGAUGCCACUGUUCAAGAUUUGGAAGAGAAGCAAAAUAGCAAGAAAGAUGCAAUACUAAAAUUGCAACAAAGGAUUCAAUCACUUCAGGCUGGGAAAGGCAAGGCAUAGUUUUCCCUCACAUAUUGUUCCAGCAUUGUAAUUUGACCGUGCUAAGGUUGGAUGUGCAUUUGUAUUUUGUGCCUCUUUGUUUUGGACUGAAGUUGACUCUUAGGAAUGUGUUUCGGGAAACAAUUUGGAAAUUAGAUUGAUAUUAUUAUAGUUGGUAUUGGCUCAUUUUCAAGAAAAUGACCUGUACAAGGUUCUGUGGAAGGCUUAGAGAAGUCAUUUGUUGCAAGGGCUACUUUUUGUGGAAAAGCCAUUGGCUUUUUUCUAAUGCAUGGACUAUUUUUUUUUUAAUCUAGCUUUCAAACUAUUGUCUUUU